AGAGAGGAAGGACAGCUGUGAAAACUACAGCUGGAAAAUGAGUCGGAAGCACAGUAGCAUUUGGAUGCAUUUUAUUAAUAAUGUAGACAUAUGAGAUUUUGGUUUGGCAAAUUCUGCACUAAAGCCGGUUCUACGCACAACCUACACCUGCAUUUGUGAACUGUGCACCCAUCUGCGAAGCUAGCUGUUGCGAAGCUUCGAGAAACUAGCGGGCCUGCUAGUAAUAGCGGCGGAGCCAGUACCCUCAUACGUGUUUACAUUACAAAGUUAUACUUUAAUUGCAAAUGCGUAAUAUAAUUCUUUUUCAUAACAAACCAAUGCAUUUUUAAAUACAUUGUGGUUAAGGUAGAGUAUGAUUUCAUUAAAUAAUUUAAUUAGAAUUGUUUUAACACCAAUCAUAGUCAAACUAACGCAAACUGACUUGAACAAAUACAAACCAUUUUUUUUAAAGAGCCAUUUGGGAGCCUAAAGACCAGGCUCUUUUUGGUGAGCUGAGCCGAACGAGCCGGCUCACUGAAAAGAGCCGGAAUUCCCAUUACUAAUAACUAGUUUUACUUGGUAACUAACAGUGAAGACUGUUUGUUCCAGACCGAGGCAUGUGAUAGUGGCACUAAGAGUAAUUAUUGUAGAUCAUUGACACGAAGGCCAACGCCCGGGUUCUAUUGAUUACGUCUUGCAACUGGACAGUUAACCGUUUAAGAAUCAGACGGCAAACAGACAGAACGGGACCCAAGUCAAUUUGUCAAUAAACUCCUUUAAGUUAUAAAACGUUUUCCAUUUGGAGUAAACGGUUUUUGUCGCAAAACCUUUUGCAGCAGACUAAACGGUUUGCAAAAUAAUCGGUGUAAUAUUUGCCACAUACGUUUCUUUACAAAGCUCCUGUAUUUAAUGUAAGGUAAAGUUUAAAAUAAUCGGUGUAAUGAAUAUACCUCUGUGUUUACACCAUGUCGUCAUGGUGUAAUAUUUGCCACAUACGUUUCUUUACAAAGCUCCUGUAUUUAAUGUAAGGUAAAGUUUAAAAUAAUCGGUGUAAUGAAUAUACCUCUGUGUUUACACCAUGUCGUCAUGGUGUAAUAUUUGCCACAUACGUUUCUUUACAAAGCUCCUGUAUUUAAUGUAAGGUAAAGAUUUGAGUACGUGGGUUUUUGUAAUGUGGUCUUUGCCAAAUAACAUCUAGGUUACUGCCUAUUAUUGCAAUACAUAUUAUUAGACCUACAAGACCUAGACCUUUUGCUGGUCAACCAUACACUUUAGCCAUUAUGGUGAUUAUUCGGGUAGUUCUAUGGCCCACAGAGUUGCUUCAAUUCUGUCUUCCUAGAGAUGCUAAGAAACAGGUGUCAUAGAUGGAUGUGCAGGUGUCUUCAAAGGUUGAACAAUAGCAGGUCAGAGUGUGUCCCCAUUAGCCCAUUUGGUCCAUGAGAGAUCCCAGGAGACUGUUCUCUGGGGGGGCUGGAGUUCCAGCAGAUGGGCCACUAUAGACUCAUCUGCAGAAGCACACUCUGGAGAGGACUUAUCUACUGCUGUGGUGGUCAAGACACUCAGGGUAUACUGGAUCUCCUUUCAAAUGGCUUAAAACAGCCUGAGGCAAGAGUUUGUGGACGGGAUCCUUUUCCAUGGGACAAUGUGUAAACAUCUCCACCUGGUCCAGUCCAGAUGCUGUGGUGCCAGUACGAGCCACUACCCAUGUACCUGGUUCUGUAGUCCUGGCAACCUCCUGCAUUACCUAUGGACCCUGAGGAAUGGAUUCGGAGUCCUUGGAUCCACUCCAGCACUUUUCAGAGAGAUCAGUGUUUUUGGUGGCAAAGAAGAUGGCAGCUGGCCAACAUGACAAGCUGGCCAAUCAGGGGACAGCUGAUGUCCCUCUCAAAUGGCAGGUUCCAGAGAGGAUGAAGCAUCCAACUAGACAGGAGUGAUGUAUCUCUCAGGUAUGGAUGUGGAGCUUCAAGGACCGGCCUGUGUUCUCCGCCAUCAUCAAGCUUCUGGAGUCCUACACAUACCUGAUACUAGACAUCUACAUCCCAGAGGGCAUAGACAUCUUUGACUACACCAAGAGGGCAGGUGUGCUCCUCUAAAUAUCUAGCCUAAAGCAUCACAUUCAUGAAUGAAGAGGCUAAAAGCAAGCAGGGGCAGACUGGCCAUCUGGCAAAUGCCAGAUGGCUGGUCCAUUUUUAGCUCAGUGAGCUUAACUUUUUUUUUUGUUCAAAACUAUUAUCUGGCGAUAAACUAGAAAUUGGCCAGUGAGGGGGGCCUCGAAAAUAAAUGGCCUGGCGUGAUAAAUUUCUGGUCCCAGUCUGCCCAUGAAAGCAAGGAUUUGGUCCCUUACAAAGCAUUGCUGUAGUUGAUUCUAGGUUCAGGUGUACUGUACUGUGGCAUCAACAUCAAGAGAGAUUUUAUUAAACCUAGAUUAAAUGUUGUAAAUUAUUUAACAUAAGGGUGUGUAAGUAUUGUAUGGCGAAUGCAACCUAUAGCCUUAUUGUAAGAUUGUACAAAUGUUGUAGAACACUGGAGAUUUUUGGAUGAGUGAGAAUUUCAGCACAAAAUGGAUGUCAGGAAGAAAAAUCUUCUAAUGUUAUUGUCACGUCACAAUUGCUCACCUCACAUGUUUGGUCCAUCAGUAGUGAGUUCUUUUUUAAAUUGUACAGAUGUAAUAAGCGUUCUUGAUGUCAUCUUGUCAUGAAACCAGGCAAGUCAUUAUAAAUCACCACUUUUUAUUGUCAA